GUCACUGCAGAAGUGGGUUGUAACCUGUCAGCGGCCACUUCUGCUCCGGCCACUACGACCACUGCAACAGUGGCGGAGCGCGGCUGGCAUAUUGGUAUUGCAGUUCGGAUGGUGUGCCACGUAGAAGGCUAGCUUUGGUUUGAGAUUACCGAGUAUGGAAAACACUAAGACAAAAACACCGACCAGUUCAGCGGCCAAAGCAGAAGCAGAGCAGAAUUCGUAAGUCAAGAGUCGAAAGAAAGAUCUUUUUGUCUGUCACUAGUGAUAUUUCGAAAACCUACCGGUGGCGACUUGCGUCGUUUUGAAAGCAAGUCUUUGGUUUCAUUUGGCCAUGCAUCUAAAAUAAAUUGGUAUGGAGGGAGUUGCAUUUUUCACCCAAGGUGGAGCAUUUACCCGACUUUGACAAUUAUCACUUCAUGCAUCUAAUGUCAAUGCAAACCAAUGAAGCAAGGAAAUGGUUAUUCUCUCUUACGUUACUCAUGAGCUUCAUAACUUUCUUGAAGCAGUCACAAGUCAAGCAGGAAAUGUACUCACAUUUUGAUCAUCGAAACUGAAGAAACCAAGAGUUGAACACUUCACGACUGCUUUGUAGUGCCCUGUGUUAAUAUUUUCCCCGAGGUGAUGGACUAUGCCUGAUAGCCUGUACGGAAAUUUGGAAUGUAACUCAAGCUGCUUAGGAACACAUGUAAUCCUCUAAAAUUUCUGCUUUGAAGAGGCUGUUCACUGCUCCUUGGAGUGUUUUAAACUGUACUACCGGAACUCUCAAGUCUUGGAAAUGCUGCACCGUUUCGGAAUCAGAUUUACAUUUACUACACGUCACUGAAAAGAAGAAAACAUGAAACUUGUAACAGCGAGAAUACCCCUUUAAAUUAAAGCUUUUAAGUUCCAAAAUCGACUCUACCAGUAUAUUUCAUAUAGCCACCAAAUAUCUGAUGCCAUGCGGUGGUCUCAGCAGAGGCCUGAUCCAAACUGUUUAUCAUAGAGGGAAGAAGAGAAAUUAGUUCUGCAUGUACAGACAUAUAUCUUAAGUUCAACAUAAAUAUGUUAAAUUAAUUACUCAGAGGAUCUGAGGCCACGAUGUUGCAGGAAGUCUAUUUCAAUUUUCUCGCCCAGCCGCCUGAGGAAUUCGUGAGGGUCCUCUUGUUUUCCUUUCACUGCACGCCCAAAUAUAUCUUUAAAAAAAACAGGAACGGUUUCAUUUUGAGUUUUGGAAGCCAAUUAUGAAUAGUAAAAGGGUGACUGUUUAGCAGUUGUACAUAUACUUACUGUCAAUUUGGUCAAUGAGCCCAUGUGGCUCGACUGUGCUACCACUGUUUUGUAGUUGGCUUCUUAUGACACAUAACAGGCAUAAUGUGCAUAGGCAAUGGGGUUGAAGUUCCUCUUCAAGCAUCUGCACUACAGCUGGUAUAUGAAAUAGAACCUGUAAUGUAGAAAGAAAUUUUUUUUAAAGACUGACAAACAUAGAAUAACCACUUCACUUUUCAUUUAAAUCUCUUUGAAUACUGUACCUGCAGAACUGAAUUCAGGUAGCAUGUGUUGCCACCGUUCUUCAGGCCAACACCUGUGCCUCCCGUUCCCCAUAUCAUUGAAAUUUUAUCAGGGGAAUACAACACUGUCUGGGGAUGUGGGAGGUCAGCCCGAACGUGGUUUGGAACUAGUGACUGUUGUAGGACUGUAGUAAAAAUUCAAAACAAUUUUACUUUUGCUUCAUGCCGUACUUGCUGCCUUGGGCUUUCGAAUAGUGCCCCCCUGGUGGUCUGGCAUUGAGGCUCCUCCUCUGCCACACUUCGAAUGGGACGUUGGGGCAGGGAGCAAUCCGCUUUGGUGAAGGAGGGACAUUCUCAGCCUCAACAUCAUCAGGGUGCGCCCUCUUCCUAUAAUUUCGUUGAGGCCUGUCGGGGAAGUCCAUAUGCAUGACGGCCCGCUCAGAGCUCUGAGCAGACCCCUUCAGUGAUGCUGUUAGACAGAAGAUGCGUGACAAGUAUCUCAAUAGGCCAGAUUAUAAUUUUGAGAAAAUAAGUAAUGCCAGUCGGGCUUGUGGACGUCUGGUGAAGUGGGCCAUUGCUCAGGUAUGCUCCAAAUAACACUACAUUUGUCCUCUGAACUCUUUUGUCUACUUCUGAAGGGUAAUAGUACUAAGACUUUUCAAUGUUACAGGUUCAGUAUGCAGACAUGCUUCAGAAACUCAAGCCACUGCAAGACGAAUUGGGUUCUCUGGAACAACAAGCAUCUAAAAACGAAAAUGAGGCUGAGGAUUUAAAAAAACGUAUUGCUCAGCUGGAGCAGAGCGUAGAAUCAUC